rnacentral:snRNA from 1 species
AUCGCUUCUUGGCCUUUUGGCUAAGAUCAAGUGCAGUAUCAGUUGAAGUCUUGGCAUGUCCUUCUUUCGGGACUCUAUCCGGGCCGGGCAGCAGGCUGGGCUCAGUGACCUCCUAGCUCUUUUCCAUCUGUAACUACUUUUUUUUUUCCUGCUCUUUUAAGAGACCUGGCAGCUUUUACAAGUCAAGUGCCCUUUAACAUGCCUUGCGAUUACAACUGAAAUGCAUUGGCCUGAAUUACU